GUGUAUGGGUGAGGGUGUGUGUGUGGGAGGUUCUCCCAUACACACACCCUCACCCAUACUCUCUCCCUCACCUUUCCUCCCACCCAACACACCCUUAGUGUGUGUGGAUGAGACUGAUUGUUUGUUUCUGUUUCAGAUUGUGUGGCCGAGGUGAACGUCAGGCUGGUCGAGAACUCCACCAAACAGGUAAAGUACUUAUGACAAUAUAUAAUGUUUAUAUACAAGUAUUUCUGAAUGUUGUCUUAAACUUUUUGUAUUCCAGGUUUGUAUGACUGACUGUGGACCUACAACAAGGUGCUGCCUGGAGGAGAUACUGAGGCAUCGUCACAGGUCUUGGAUGAUAGUGACAGGCAUGGUCACAGGUCUUGGAUGGGUGAUUGAGGCAUCUUCACAGGUCUUGGACGAGUGACUGAUGCAUCGUCACAGGUCUUGGAUUAGUGACUGAUGCAUCGUCACAGGUCUUGGAUUUCUCUACCCUUUAUAUUGUGGACUCCACAAGGUAAAACGGACGGCCAUUCAACAAUUGGUGUCCAGAUUGUCAACAAUUAAUGAAGAAAAGACAAGAGUUAGUCCUAGGGCAGAGGGCUGGAUUAAGGGUCUUGUGGGCCAGGAGCUAAUUAAGUCCAGAGGGCUGGAUUAAGGGUCUUGUGGUUCGAGAGAGUCGUUUCGUCAGCCAGAAGACUUUCAUCCCCAUAAGAGCUCUGCAUCAAUUGUUCCGGCUAACGGAGAUAUCACCGAUACCUGCACAGUUUAUAUAUACAUUAUCAACCAAAGGAGAAUGGCCCACCGGGGCACAGGUCAUCGACCCACAACGAGGCCUGGGGGUGAAAACAUAAGAGUAAAAAGAAAUUAAAAAUAGAAAAGAAAAAUAUUAUAUUAAUCUACACUGCGAAGAUGGCGG